rnacentral:rRNA from 1 species
CCUACGGGUGGCAGCAGUGGGGAAUAUUGCACAAUGGGCGCAAGCCUGAUGCAGCCAUGCCGCGUGUGUGAAGAAGGCCUUCGGGUUGUAAAGCACUUUCAGCGGGGAGGAAGGCGUUAAGGUUAAUAACCUUGUCGAUCGACGUUACCCGCAGAAGAAGCACCGGCUAACUCCGUGCCAGCAGCCGCGGUAAUACGGAGGGUGCAAGCGUUAGUCGGAAUUACUGGGCGUAAAGCGCACGCAGGCGGUCUGUCAAGUCGGAUGUGAAAUCCCCGGGCUCAACCUGGGAACUGCAUUCGAAACUGGCAGGCUAGAGUCUUGUAGAGGGGGGUAGAAUUCCAGGUGUAGCGGUGAAAUGCGUAGAGAUCUGGAGGAAUACCGGUGGCGAAGGCGGCCCCCUGGACAAAGACUGACGCUCAGGUGCGAAAGCGUGGGGAGCAAACAGGAUUAGAUACCCGUGUAGUC